AAAGGAUGAAUACUUGAUCAACAGCCAAACCAUUGAGCAUAUUGUUAAACUAGUGGAACAACACGGCAGUGAUAUCUGGUGGACUCUUCCCCCUGAGCAACUUCUACCAAAAGAAGUCUUAUCUGAGGUUGGUGGCCCUGAUGCCUUGGAAUAUGUGCCAGGUCAGGAUAUUUUGGACAUCUGGUUUGAUAGCGGAACUUCAUGGUCUUAUGUUCUUCCAGGUCCUGACCAAAAAGCAGAUUUGUACUUGGAAGGAAAAGACCAGCUCGGGGGUUGGUUUCAGUCAUCCUUAUUAACAAGUGUGGCAACAAGGAAGAGAGCACCUUAUAAUGUUCUGUAAGAAUUUGAAGUAAAAAAAAGAGAAAGGAAAAAGGAGACACCAAGGUGUCUUGAUCUCAUUCAGUCACCCAGGCUAGAGUGCAAUGGUGUGGUCAGAGCUCGCUGC
rnacentral:sRNA from 1 species